rnacentral:rRNA from 1 species
UACGUAGGGCGCAAGCGUUGUCCGGAAUUACUGGGCGUAAAGCGCGCGUAGGCGGAUUUGCCAGUCAGGGGUGAAAUGCCAGGGCUUAACCUUGGAACUGCCUUUGAUACUGCAAGUCUGGAGUACGGGAGAGGUGAGUGGAAUUCCGAGUGUAGAGGUGAAAUUCGUAGAUAUUCGGAGGAACACCAGAAGCGAAGGCGGCUCACUGGCCCGAUACUGACGCUGAGGCGCGAAAGCGUGGGGAGCAAACAGG